rnacentral:tRNA from 1 species
AAGGGUAUAGCUCAGUGGUAGAGUGCAUGCCUAGCAUGCAUGAGGUCCUGGGUUCAAUCCCCAGUACUCCCA